UAGGGAAUAUUGGACAAUGGGUGAGAGCCUGAUCCAGCCAUGCCGCGUGCAGGAUGACGGCCUUCUGGGUUGUAAACUGCUUUUAUCUGGGGAUAAAAAAGCCUUGCGAGGCAAACUGAAGGUACCAGAUGAAUAAGCCACGGCUAACUACGUGCCAGCAGCCGCGGUAAUACGUAGGUGGCAAGCGUUGUCCGGAUUUAUUGGGUUUAAAGGGUGCGUAGGCGGUUUAUUAAGUCAGUGGUGAAAGACGAUAGCUUAACUAUCGAGGUGCCAUUGAUACUGAUGAACUUGAGUGCAGUCGAAGUAGGCGGAAUGGACGGUGUAGCGGUGAAAUGCAUAGAUAUCGUCCAGAACACCGAUAGUGAAGACAGCUUACUAGGCUGUAACUGACGCUGAGGCACGAAAGUGUGGGGAUCAAACA
rnacentral:rRNA from 1 species